rnacentral:rRNA from 1 species
UUGAUGUUUGGAUACUUGCAGUAGGACCACCCUUUCCCAUCCCGAACAAGGAAGUGAAACGAGUCAGCGUCGAUGAUACUUCUCGCUAUUCGCGAGGGGAAAAGUAGAUCAUAGCCAGGGCA